rnacentral:rRNA from 1 species
GGGUAGUAGGGGGCAGGUAGCAGCGGGAAGACGGGGUGUGCGAGCGUGGUGCGGAGUUAUUGGGCGGGAAGCGCUGGUGGGUGGCGUGUUAAGGCGCUGGUGAAAGCUCCAGGCUCAAGCUGGAAAGGGCGCGCGAAACUGGCGAGCUUGAGUGCCGGAGAGGGUCGCGGAAUUCCCGGUGUAGAGGUGAAAUUCGUAGAUAUCGGGAGGAACACCAGAGGCGAAGGCGGCGACCUGGAAGGUGACUGACACUGAGCAGCGAAAGCGUGGGGAGCAAACAGGAUAGAUACCCCGGUAGUC